UCCGGCAACUUUGCUGGAGGGGCCACACCCGUUCCCAUUCCGAACACGGCCGUUAAGCCCUCCAAGGUCGAUGGUACUUUAGUCGCAAGGCUAUGGGAGAGUAGAACGUUGCCGGGU
rnacentral:rRNA from 1 species